AGUGAACGCUGGCGGUAGGCCUAACACAUGCAAGUCGAACGGCAGCACAGUAAGAGCUUGCUCUUACGGGUGGCGAGUGGCGGACGGGUGAGGAAUACAUCGGAAUCUACUUUUUCGUGGGGGAUACGUAGGGAAACUUACGCUAAUACCGCAUACGACCUACGGGUGAAAGCAGGGGAUCUUCGGACCUCGCGCGAUUGAAUGAGCCGAUGUCGGAUUAGCUAGUUGGCGGGGUAAAGGCCCACCAAGGCGACGAUCCGUAGCUGGUCUGAGAGGAUGAUCAGCCACACUGGAACUGAGACACGGUCCAGACUCCUACGGGAGGCAGCAGUGGGGAAUAUUGGACAAUGGGCGCAAGCCUGGUCCAGCCAUACCGCGUGGGUGAAGAAGGCCUUCGGGUUGUAAAGCCCUUUUGUUGGGAAAGAAAAGCAGCAGGUUAAUACCCCGCUGUUCUGACGGUACCCAAAGAAUAAGCACCGGCUAACUUCGUG
rnacentral:rRNA from 1 species